rnacentral:rRNA from 1 species
GACGAACGCUGGCGGCGUGCUUAACACAUGCAAGUCGAGCGGUAAGGCCCUUUCGGGGGUACGACGAGCGGCGAACGGGUGAGUAACACGUGGGUGACCUGCCCUCAGCUCUGGGAUAAGCCUGGGGAAACCGGGUCUAAUACUGGAUAUGACUCCAUGACGCAUGUUGGUGGGGUGGAAAGCCUUGUGCGGCUGAGGAUGGGCCCGCGGCCUAUCAGCUUGUUGGGUGGGGGNGAUGGCCUACCAAGGCGACGACGGGUAGCCGGCCUGAGAGGGCGACCGGCCACACUGGGACUGAGACACGGCCCAGACUCCUACGGGAGGCAGCAGUGGGGAAUCUUGCGCAAUGGGCGAAAGCCUGACGCAGCGACGCCGCGUGAGGGAUGACGGCCUGGUGUAAC